UUUUUUCAUUUUUUUCCUGUUUUUUUGUUAUUUAUCCAUUUUUAUUUUCUAUAGUGGAGUACACGUUUCAUCAAUUGUGCCUCUUCCAUCUACGUGUUCGUCUUUUCUGCUUCUUUUGUUCCACCACCGCCAUUUUUCUAACAUGAUACAAUACGUGUUUGUUUCUUCUGCAUCUCCUUGCUUACUAACCCUUUAAUCCUCCACCGCUGUUUCAUUGAUUUGUCUUCCCGAUUAUUCCACUUUUUCCAAUUUCGUUUCUUCUGCUUCAUCUCCCCUCCAGUGACCUUGCUUCUCUCUUCCACCACCAUCGAUGAUCGGCCAACCCAUGAUCGGACCACCACAUCGUCUACCUCCUGCAAAGGUUUGCAAGACAACUUCCAACAACUUGGUUCGUCUUCUCCUUCAAUUUUGUAGAUUAGGUUUAAUUUUUGGCUGCUUUUAUUGUGUUUUUGGUAAAUGAAGUCGAUUUAUGGUCGGCAAUUACGCUAUUCUAAACCUCAUAUUCAGAAAUAUGACUCAACACUAAAAGGUAAUUGACGAUUUUAAGCCUUGAACCUCUCUCUUGAUCUCUAUUUUAAGCCCUAAAUCCCAAUCUUCCGUUUCUGUAAUUAUAGGAAUUUGAUUGGUAUUGAUUAUUAAUCUCAUAUAAUAUUAUUUUGUUUUGAUCAUAUGGAUGGUAGGAGCUCUCACAUCACCAAGUAAAUCCUGAUCCAGGUUUGUGUUCUUCGAAAAUCGACAUUGGUUUCCCCUGAUACACUCGAGAUUUGCAAUCAGGCUGCUGGAAUAGUUGGUCCUGUUAUUACAACUUCAGAUUCUCAUGGUGUUGGUGAACAAUUUUGUCUUACCACAUUGGUCUGCUUUCUUUAAUGUUGCCUUUCUUUAAUUUAUAAUAAAAUUCACUCAUAUCUCCAUGUUUUUUUUUUUCAUUUUUGGCCUUCAUCUUUUAUGUUGUGUUACUAGGUACAAAUCUCAGAAAGAAGCAUUUUCAUUCUCAAACCAGUUUUAUCCCCCCAAAAAAUGGCUUUAUCAAUUGGAGUAAUGUCCAUUCGACCGUGGUUCAAAAAAUGAUAAGUUUAUUCAUCUUUUCAUUUUUCGGAGCUUUAAUUCCAGGUGAUGCUCAAUACAGUUGCUGCUGCAAUACUAGUGCUUAAAAUUUGUACAGGUGGUGAUUGGCCCUCAACACUUAAAAGGUAACCAUUUGAUUCAACAUGUGGAUAUUGUAAACGAAAAUCAAAUGUAUAACAGAAUGGUGAAGUUGUUGUACGACAUCAUGGAUGCUCUAAUUUUUACAAACACAUAUGAAGACAGUCGGAUGGGAUUCGAUAUGCUGAAGAUGUUCAACAUCACAUUGAUCAUGGAACUUCCAAAAGAGUUGUUGGCUUUAUAGCUGAAAGUGUUCAGGGAGUUGGGAGAGCAGUGGAAUCGGCCCCAGCUGGAGUUUAUAUUGCUGAUGAAGUUUAAGUUAGAUUUCGUAGAACUGGAAGCCAUUGUUGGGGUUUCCAAACUCUAUAUAUUAAUCUUAAUGUUUUUCUACAAAUAACCAUCAGACAUGUCUUCAAAUAGUAUAAAAAUAUCAUGCGGUUGUAAAUAAAUCAAAAAGACUAUAGUUUAGCAUCACUUCUAGACAGAAGGGCAAAAUAGUCAACUUUUUCUUUUUAUAUAACACUUGCUUCAAAAAAAUAUCAUAUAUCCAUUCAUAACUACUUAAUAGAAAAAGUAUUGGAUUUUUACAAAGUUGCCUUCAUGUGUGUGUAAAUGAAAGCAAGAUUGAAUACUAUAAUUUCCAGAUCAUCUGGUCCAUUACAAUGAAUUUUUUUAUUUUUUUUUGCCUUUAUUAAGUACUUAAUUUCAAUUUUUUUGAUAUUUUUUGUAUGGACAAAUGUUGGUGCAGAAAACCAGGUUUAAUGUCACAGCUGUGUAAAUUUCCUAUUUUUUCCAAUUGUUUGGUGUAUCCAACCUGCAACGCUGGGUUAUUCCCUAGUUAUAUUUAAUUUUUAACAAUUUUAUAUUUUCAAAUCAUUAUAAUUAUAAAAAAAUUACUUGACCAUAAUGCCCUUAGCUCUUAUAUGGAUGGAAUCUGAGUAUCUCUAUUCUUUCGUGCAAAAUUCUGCACAUCCAUGGUUGCUUGUCUAUAAUCCUCACAGUACUCACUAAACAUUCUUUAUCUUCAACGCAUACAAAUUAGGUGCAUCUCUUCAUGAUGGAUCAUGCAUCC